UCUUCAACUAACGAAGGAAUACCUCAAGCGUCCAAGUUGGUUCAGCAAAAAAAAGAGCCAUCAGAUCUACCCCUCCGGUGCAGCAUCAGCAAGACCAAACAGAAGCAGAAAGUGCUUCGUGUGCUCUUCUUUGCACUAGUCCUGUGAAGUGUGCAAAUAUUCAUACAGUUGAAUAUUUGCCAGUCCAGAACAUUUACCAGCGGACUCCGUUUUGAUAGCACAGUACCUGUGGGUGUGGCCAGUGGACUUACCCUGAACCUGAUACAAAUGCACUGAAAUCAGUGAGAGCUUCGUAGCAGGUUUGUGCAGGCUUUGGAUGGAGCCCCUUCCCUGCCUCAUGUGGUGAAGCCAUGAAACUUGGCACGUUUAUAGCAUUGUAACAUAAAGCCAUCUGUGUACGAGUACAAACUUUUCCUUAUUGCCAAAGUGCUUAAUGUAAUUACAAUCAGGCUCGCUUCUCCUCUGCUCCUCUCCUCCCUGUGCUGGGACGGAUGAAAACUUGCCCUGGUAAAUAAUCCCCCAGCAUCUUGAGCUUGUGCGCCGGGUACAGCAGGGUAAGAUGCUAACCUCGUAAAUCUGAGGCACUUUUACAUUUUAGGGAACACACAGAAAGUUACAGACCAUCUUACAGGGAAACUGGUAUCAGAAAUAUGCCAAAAAGUCCAGCCUGGGUUCUUUUCUUGGAAACUACUCCAGACCCCUGACUUGGGAGCUCAGUCGCCUUCCCUUCCCCGAAUAGUCGAUGAAGAGUCAGAGGUGUCCCAGAGCUUGGAUACCUGAGAUGGAAACUCCCUUCUGGAGGUGGCUUUUCCUCUUUGCUGCCUAAAAAGUGAACACAAUGCUCCUCUUUACCUUGUUCACCACCUAAAGAAGGUUAUGUUAAUCCUGAGCAUCGGUUCCCCAGGCUGUCCCUGUCCAUAAGCAGCUGCAAAGUGCUGGUUUUAUUUUAUGAUUCACUCUUUCUGUUGACUUCAACUGUUUCCAAAUAUGAUGUUACCCCAUGGCAUUGGGUCAUUUAGGUGCGGUACUGAGGGAUAUGGUAUAGGGGAGGACUUUGUAGAGUAGGGUCAAUGGUUGGACUCGACGAUCCCAAGGGUCUCUUCCAACCUAGAUGAUUCUAUGAUGCUAUGAUUGAUUGUAUUUCCUGUAUCGUGGUACUUGCAUGCAGUUUCUUUAAUACAAAAUAUAAUAUUGGUCAGUCUGAGCUAAAUACCAAGGUUGCUUAUAGGUUAAUGAAUGCACUGUGCUUGCUGCUGACUGAUGUAAUUACUGAUAGGUGGGACACUCAACUUGACCCUACAGCCCAUAGACACGUACUUGACUUUAUCAGUGGGGAUGGUGUAUUUGAAAGGAAUAUUAACAUUGAAAAGAAAACUCACGCAGUGGAUGCAUUUGCAGGAGCAGGGAAUAAGUUUUCAGGGAAAAAAAUAGCUGAAGGCAAAAGGUGGUAAUACCAGAAAAGUCUCUUCCUGAAGGAACAUAAUGAUAAGCUGCUUAAUUUUCGCCAGUUUUAGGAAGACAGUUUAAUUAAUCACCUAGAACGUAGGUGUGAAAUGAGUGCUAAAGUUAUGCAGAUUACCUCUACCCAAAGUCCUUUAUAAACUGUGCUGUUAUCAGUCUAGGAAGAACCUUUCCUCCUCAAUAAACUUCAGAAUGGUUUAAUCAUCUAUAGUGACAUAGAUACAUUGGCCCAGGCCAGAUUUAUUUUGAGAUAUUAUCAGAAAUGGGUAGAUACAGAUGCUUAUAAAGCACCUACACUUUGUAGAUGCCAAAAAACCUGUUUCUGUACAUCCAGAAAGCUCCAACAGGCUGUGUAGAUACAUGCUUGUGGUUAAAAAUGUACUAUGGUCUAUGGACACUCUGUGUCCAUUUCAAAUACAGCAGGGAUUUUAAGAGGGGCACAAGUUUUUGGUUUUAAUUGUUGUAACUAGUCAAAAAGUUUCUUAGCGUGUCAUCAACUAAUCUGCUUCAGGGAAGAAGAUGGGCCUGGUCCUCUGUGGUCCACCUGAUCACAGGGGGCUGAGCUUGUAGGAUCACCUUAUGAAGCAUGGUGAUUGAGGGAAGGUUUGUGUUGGGAUCUAUAGUCUGCUGACAACACUUUCCUAAUUUUGUGAUGCCAAGGAAAAGGACUUCUGAACCAUGCUGCAAGCGUUAAGAGGCAAAUAAGUCUUUUUAUUUGAAGGUUUCUAUGGAAGGUUGUCACACAGGCUACAAAUCAGAAGCUUAAGUGCUCGUGUUGCAUAAAGGUUGGAGUUACAAGGGUUUUGCCCAAAUUCCUGUCCCCUCUGCGAGUAGAGUUUCACUGACAUUUAGUGUCUGGUGGUUGCUGCUCAGAUCACCAGUUAACACAAUCCUAGGUCAGUAAGUUUGAAAGGAGGUAAAACAUCUUGGAGAGACCAUAUGAAAUCCAUCAUGGCAAACCACUGAUAACUCCACAUCUUAUUAGCUUCAAUUAAGUAUUUCCAUGGGGAACUGUGGAACUGUUUAAAGUCAUGAUGACACAUACACACACUUUGUUCCAUCCAAAGAAAUAAUCUGUUUUCCAGAUUUCCAGAAAGCCAAGCUAUUUUGUUAUUGUUUUUUUUCUUUUCCUCCUUUUAAAAGAAAUAAUUUAUAAGAAUUUAUCUUGGGCUUGCUACAGAUUUAAAAGGAGAAAAAAGAUUUCUUCUGUCCGACUUUUAAAUUAUAUGCAUGACCAAAGAUAAAUAUGUUUUUUAUUUAUAACUGUGGAUAGAUGCCAAACAAAGCCUUUCAUAUGACGCACCGCUGCUGUAGUGGAGAAGUACUUAAAACAGUUCCAGUCAAGUUAGGCCCCAAGACUUUUCAUGCAACUUCAUGCAAAAUGGUUAAGACCUUUCAUUUAUUAUUUUUUUUUUUCCCCCCCUUUUCUUUUGAACAUCUUCAAAGAUUACAAGUGCAAGGCGCUUAAGAGGAUGCCAGGCUUCUUCCUGUCGAGCUGAGAUGGUCUGAAAACCACAUUGAAAGAUGGGAAACUGGAGCCCCCACGGAUUGCAGAUGAGGGGUUGGGGAUUUUUUUUUGGAGGCUGUAGAUCUCUCCUGGUCGGUAACCGUUGGGUAAAGGUUAUGGAUGGAGGCUGGCACAGCCAAGGAUUGGUGUGCUGUUGGGAGACUGGGAUGAAUGGGCUUUGACAAUACUGCUGAAUAGGGAUACUUGUGGAGCUAAUACAAACAAUUUGUAAUUGUCAGGGCUGAAAAGUAAAAACAUGAUUAUAAACUGUGCCUAGGAUCAGCUUAUGUCAGCUUUAAGUGAUUUAAAAGUCUGGUGUCUGGAGCUGCAUCUCACUUGCCUGUGAAACUCCUUAAAGAAGACUUACACAAGCGUACAAGCAUGUCUCUCCCUUCUUGGGUAUUUAUUGUGAAAAGUAACCCUUUGUCUGGCUGACAGGAGACGGGGUUUCAGGACAGAUGUGAAACAAAGCCUUGCAGAUAAAUCAGAAAAUACGUAUUUUCUCUAUUUCAAUGAAAUGAGACGAUUGCCUGGUAACGGCAACUCUUUUAGAAACUGCUGGUGGUCCUUGUUUUGUGCAAGGAGAGACUCUGAAUGGUAAGGUGCCCGUGCACCGUGGUCACCUGGUGGCUUUGUGCCGUGCCAGGCUUGAAAACUGUUUCUGCCUGGAUGUGAAGGAAGUCUGUAAAGGAUGCAAACUUCGCCGAGAGAAGGGAAGGAGCACAAGAAAGCAUCCUCUGUUACCUGGAGCCUACCAUCAUUAUGCCUGACCCUGGCUCAUUAUCCCUUGGUAUCUGCAGCAGACGAUGACCUUUGAUGACACCGCACAACAGAAUGCAAAGGAGAUGCCUGCCUUUUAAUUUUGGCUCCAGAAUGCCAGAGGCGGUAGUAGCUUCUUCCCCACGCUGUGGCCAGACUUACUUGACUCAAACACGUGUAGGAAAAUUAAAAUGCUGCUAAAUAGUACUAAGCAACACUGUUUAGGGACCGGGUUACAUUGCUGAUUUUGCUAGGAGUGCCCCUGCCUUCCCGUCCCCCCCCAAAGAGUCUGGAGCAGGCUGGAAGCAACUAAUCUACCAUGUAAUGAGAUAGGUUCCUGUUGACACAAGUCAAGGGCAAAACUAUUAAGUCAUUAGGGCUAAUGUUGUAACAUUCUGAUACAAAGGCAUGGCCUGGGCCUUUCAGAUGUACCUCUGACCUUUAAGGAUUAAGUUUCUUCGCAGCUUAUUUUUGCUGCUCAAAAAUCUGUCUUUUUUUUUUCUUUUUUUUUUUUUUUUUCCCCUUCUGCUUCACACGCGCUGAUCUCUGGCCCUCUGCAGGGUACAGCUCGCAGCUUCUGCACUCCAGGUUUGUCCCACUUUUAUCAGAGGAGCUAAGGACAAAGAAGACAUCCUUUUCUUAAUCCCACAGCACUAAGGGUACGGCACGUGUUCCCCUGCUCAGCACUGCCCCUGUGGGAGCUUGGCCCAAGGGGCUGCUGGUAGAAGGGAGUCGGGGAAAUAGAGGUGGCUCGUAGGCUUCUCCCACAAAGUAGAGACAGUGAGGAUUCCUUAAACCAAUCUAGAUGUAAUUUAAAUACGUAUAAUGGAAAUGUGUCUCGCUCUGUCCCUGUGAUAAUUUGGUAGAGUAACUUUUCUGAAAUCUAAUGGGUUUUGCCAAUAACCAGAUGGUUAUUUCAAGCAUUGUAUCCUCCAGCACAGCAGAAGGUCUGCACUUGCUUCAUUUCCAUUGCCUGGGCAAGAGAAGUGCAAUGGGGCUCCAAAACUUGUCUUGCUGCAAUACCUACUGUCUCUCAGGACUGGUUUGUUUAACAUCAACUUUGUAGACUUGUUUGACUCGUGAAGUUUUUGACCUAAUGCUUUUCUUUUUCCGAGUCACUCUCUGAAAUAAGGAACCAAGCAGUGUUCUCACUCGGACCUGUGCUAGGUUGUGUCUCCAUUUACCAUCACGCUGAAAGCCUACGGAAGAGCGUAAGAAAGUGUCCUCUUCUCCAGGUGAAAUCAGCCUUACCCACAGCAUUCAGUGACUUUAAAUGCGACGGUGAUGGGGAAAGGAAAGUCGCAGUAAAAAGGAUUCUGCUCUGAAGACUGUACAUGCCAAGACCUUCAGGAUGGUUUUCACCUUCUCCUGCUGGAAGAGAUGCUGAUAUUCACGACCACACCAGUGGAAACGAGGUGCUUCUCAAAAUUAACAGCCCGUGCUUUGCUACUUACACCUCGCCGUGGUUCUCCCCCGCCAUCCCCGAGAAGAGGGUCAUGGGCUACCUUGGGAGCUGUUGGAAGCAGCAGAGGCACAACUCUUUCCCUGAGGUGCUCCUAGACACCCUGCAACUAUAUUCAACCCUUCAGUACAGGUUUGCCCCAAAGGUACAGGCUGCUCUAAGCAAGAAGUCAAGCGCUGCUCUGGAAAACAGACUUGUCUUCAUGCGGUUCCUCAUCGGAAGAUACAAGCUGUCACGAUCCCUUGCCAAUCACACGAGAACUGACCUAGGGAGAACAGCAGCUGAAGGUUAUAAGUUCCUGUUGCAUUUUUGAAGACAAUAAUACACUGGAUUUUAUGAUUCCUCUAUUUAAAACAAGACAAGAGUUUCCUAUAUUUUGAAGAGAAAUAAGAGCACCUGAAAAAAAGGGCUUGCUCCAUUGCUGUCUAUAUCCAGCCUGGCUUUCUGUGAGCUGCACGGGGAAGAAAUAUUUCCAAGACACCAGUGGUUGCCAUAUCCUGACAAGGGAUACCUGAUGCCCCUCUUCCUGCCUGUCAGAUCUAAAUGUCAGCCCUCGCUCAGUCCAUGAUUUGGAGGAAAAGCCAGAAAGGAGGAACCCUAAACCACCUGCAUAAACCCACCUGACAGUAGUGGGAGCCUAAAGAGGCAAAGAGCAAGAAGGAGUCGAGGUUUUCUGUCCAGGUACCAAUAAGGUUGUCUCCUGACUGGAAAAUGAAAAGUGGAAGAGUCCCACGGCCUUUCUGCCCCUUACACUGAAGGGAAAACAAACCGCCUGGUCAUAGGACAGAUGUUGGCUUGGGUCACCAUCAAGAUCCUGACCUGCCUAACUGAUGUGACACAGGGAAGGAGGUACCUCGAUGCUCAUCAAGAGCAGAACCUCAUUACUGCAGCCUGGAGAAGCUGGAGAGGUCUCCAAAGGCUUUCUAGAGGGGUCACUCUGCAGCACCAGCACCGUUACUUGUGUCAGCCUCAGGCAAGACCCUUCCUCUUGGAGAGACUUUCCAACCCUCUGACCUGCCAUCAGCUCCUCACCUGGCACCACACACCGAAGCUGCAGAUACUUCAGCGUGUGGUGAGGUGCAGAAAUCAGAUGCAAAUGCUCCUGGAGCCGUGGGGCCAGCGUUACUGCUCCUGCUUUGACAAUGCCAGCUGAUCGUAUGCUUUGGGAAUGAGGCACCCGGAGCGGUAUUGGAAAGCGUCAGUCUCCUGCCAGAAGGUUCUGAAGUGGCAUUUUCUGCAGCCUUGAUGACUCUCUUCCAGUCUUUUAUUUCAUUGAGAAGAGCCCAAAGUAUAAUAUUCUUUCAGGAAGCAUAAAUCGUAUUGCUGGAAGUAAUAGCAAUCUCCCAAGCAGAAUCCCCCGGGGACUCGCGCCGCUCCGCUUUCCAAAAAGCUGCCUUCAAGUACAUCCCAUGGUGCCUCCUUCCCAGCAGGAAUCCCCAGUGCUGCACUGGUGGCCGUGCCUGAGGAGCUGUAGAUGAUGCCCAAGCAACUGGAGCUUUUCACCCUAGGGUUUUCCCAGCGUUUUGGACCAUCCUGGGACUUGGGAGAAGCUGCCAAGACUCUUGUCCAACCACCCCGAUUUCGGUGCUUCUUCUUGACUGUCGGUACGCGCGUGAGACAAUAGCCGAAAGGAAGUGGAAUUGAAGGGGCUUCUUGAAAAACAGCAACUUCUGACAAAAUAAACCAAGACAAAGAUCCAUUCAAGAUGAAGUUAUCAAACCGUGCGAAACCAAUACAGCAACGUUUCCAAGCUGUGGCUAAGGUUUGGUUUUUUGGUCACAAAAAAAAAAAAGGAACAUGGAAACUAUUUAUUAUCAAGAAAAAUCAAGAUUUGAACAUGAAAAAAUAUGGAUCGUGUAUGCAGAGGCUCACGUCAGCCAUUGGAUAUAGAUGAACAUGGCUCUCGGUUCCUCCUGGGAGUGGUGACAGGACUUCAAAAAAAACCCUGCACCAUGGCCUGAUUUUCAGAGGUCUCCAGCAUCCCCCCAGUUCCUGUUGACUUGUAAGCGACGUGCAGCUUGAGGUUUUGCUUGUUCCUCAGCUGAAUCUUUCAAAACUCGUGAUGUCUCAGCAUGAGUCAGUGUUUUAUGUAACCCCAGCUUGCAUUCCUCCAAACCCCUCCUGAGCUCGGAGCGCUCCAACAGCCAACCUCAAAUUCUUCAUCCUCGCAGCUGACAACUGUGGUCCUCCGGCAGCGGCACGACAAGUUCCUCACGCUGCUCCUGGGGGUGGGUUUGGGGCCCCAGCGUGGCUCUCCGAGUGCAGGGACUGAGGCUGGAGGAAAGCUGGGCUGGAGGAGGAAGCUCCACUCCACAACGGGCAAGAUGUUGGGCUUUCCUGCAUCAGAAGUGCCCACUGCCAGUUCUGUCCAGCUGUUCGGUGGUUUUUUUUCUCUUCCUUUCUCUUUCCUUUUGUCUUCCUUCCUUCCUCUUCCUUUUUUCUCCUCCAGCAUCAGAGUUAUCCAUGCCUCUACCAGAAAAAACCAAACAUUUUCCCAUAAAAGUGGUAGGAAGGGAGGACACCGCUGUGGUGGAUCCCACUGGCUGUUGGUCCCUCUGUAGGCACCUUGGAUGGCAUCUUCAGUUCCCACUCCUGGCACCCUACUUCACCCUGAAGCACCUCAACAAGCUCAAGAGGGGACCUCCUCGUUGGUGGGACAGACCCUUCUCAGCCUCUCGGGGUCAGCACAGCUGAUAAAGCAGGAAAUGUUUAUGAUAUUUAGAGAAACCAUGCAGGAAUGUGAAGAUGAAGACAGGGAGAAUGUGUGCCAGUCUGCUCCACUAACCUACUCGGAUGCACUGUGGUAGCAGCAAAAUAACCUGCCAUCUGAUGCUCUGGAUGCUGUGACCCUCUGCUGGCACCGUGCAGACCUCAGACCUCAAAAGCAAUCCCCUCGGACAUGGUUAUAUAUAUUUCACUGUAAGUGAAAGAGAAGAAAACAAAUAAAAACACAACGAGGCUCUUUCUCCACGUUGGUACUUUCUUCAGACUUUCUACCGAGGAUUUCCAAGUGCAUUUGUCAUCGUACGGUAAGGGCUCUGAAUGAAUUUAUUGAUGGUAGCUGGAAAAAAAAAAGGGAAAAAAAUGAAUGAAAUCCCUCGAGGCAGAAGGUAUGUCAUGAACUUCCCCAAGUUAUUUGCAAAUGUUUCUGCCAGUAUCAAUAAAUCCCUCAAAUUUCAAGAUAGGCUACAUUAAUUACAGGAUGGCAUGAUGUAUUUAAAGGUUGCUGAAAGUUCUAUCUGCGAUCAGUCGUGUUCGAACUGCAGGUUGAUGGGAAAUAUUUGUUAUUUUAAUACGUAGGCACGCACGCGAGCAGCAAGAGCCUCCAUGAUGUUUUAAUAGGCUUUUAUUAGUUCGUACUCUCCUUGUAAUCUUGUUUUACAGUAUGUGCGCUCAAUGUGUUUGUGUCUAUGCUCUUCAUGCACACGUCGCAGGAUGCCAAAACAGCCUUCUGCUUCCUUGUUUCCAACCACUUAGUCAGGCACUUGAACGCUUUCCAAAUCUUGUUAAAAACCAGAAAUAGCGCUAUCACUUCUUGCCGGAGAGCGCAGAAGAGGUGGAGAUGGUGGUGGACGGAGAGGGCAGGGGAAAAGUGAGGAGGAGGAGGAGGAGGAGGCAGCUGGACGGUGGGGGGAUCUUCAUGGGUGAGCUCAGAAAAGCCUCCGUGCCACCACCGCCCAGACCUCAUCUGGGGCUUCCCCGCUGUCUUGCUGUGGAAAGCGGGGGGUUUGGUUCACUCGCUGGAUGGAAAACGCACUGCAAAGAUGCUCCUUGUACAUCACCUCCCGUUUAAAAACUCUAGGCACCCAGAGUUCCCUGGCCAAAAAUCACAGGGUGUUUGUUUAAUGAUUUAUUUUUAUUUAUAUGUAUAUGUAAUUAUUAUUAUUAUUUAUUAUAUACAUAUAAAAUCUUAGUUAUAUUUAAAUUUUACACUUUUUUCCCCAGGAAAAUUGGAAGUAACAUGCAAAUAGGAGUGGGGUUUUUUUCUGAGCAAAAUAGAUUUAAAAAUCAACUUUAUUUUAUUCACUAUUUUUUUCCAAAACUGAACUAAGCAGGCCAGCUCAAUCUAGAUUCAAUAAAUGCUUCAGAAGUUCAUUUCUGGUGAAUUAAAAAUUGCUCCUGAGACUUCAAAGUGUUCCAGCCAGGUGAGGUCUUGCUGGGGAACAGUGGGAUCAUGUAAUACGGGUGAUCCUGGUUUCUCCAGAACAUGUGCUCACUGCUUGUACCUCUUUUUUCUGCUUAGACUAGAUGUUUUCUGGUGUGUAUCUCUUAGGCAAGGAAGCAUCAAUUUUGGCUGGUGCUUGGAAGCUGUAUUAAUUAACUGGACACGCAACUGGAGGCAGCAGCAGAGAGUGUUUUCCUUUGGAUUGCUCUUGCAGAUGUGGAUUCUCUGAUGUCUACAGGUGGUUGAGUUCUUCCCAUUGGUUGGGGGAGUCAAUGGUGGUUGCCUUGGUUCCCUGUCUCCGUGAGGUGGGAACAUCUGGCCGGUUUGACUGCAGCCACCCAAUGGCUUUAAAAGCAAACACUGACGCAGGCGUGUGCCCACGCACCCGUACAUCCACGCAGAACGUGAUGAGGAGCCAGUCCCUAUAGCCUUAAAGAAACCCAGAUAAAAAUAAUGUUGCCAUAAGAAGCUGAUGUUAUGCAUGAGUAAGAUGACUGCGAGGCUCCCACUGCCUACUGAGAGGCACUGGGGUGUCACAUUCCAUUAAGGAACUUGCCGAGGAGUCGUGACACAGCCGUUGCUGACUGUCUACGCUACAGCCCGCCUUUGUUCGUGGUCAGCAAAAAAGCUGGUCAAAUAACAUUGAUCAGAUUGUUUACUUGGCAUGUCCCCCACAACCUGAAUAACUCCUUUUUGCAGGGUUAUUUUCACCCAGGUGACAUGCUAGAUGCAGCGCUAACUAAUAUAAUUAUCAAAAUCUGAUGGUCUCAAAAGAAAGUUUGAAGUCAAGUGUUGGGUUUCUCAGUGGAGCAGCGUUUGUGGCCCCAACCAGCCAUGUACUGAGGAGCAGAUGGCCGUGUUCUGAGACUUCUUCGUCUUCUUCUCAUAGUAUCUCCUUGCAGACACAGCCUCCAUGAAACAUCAUGGCAGGAAAGCAACGAACCUGCUUACCCCAAGGCUGGUGCACUCUUGGAAAGUGAAAUAUACAUGGGAUUUGGAGAGGGCUUUGUGAUUCUUGAAGAUCCCACCUCGUGAAGAUCGAUUUCAAACUUGGGCUGGAAGAGGCAUCAGAGCAAUGGAAAAAUGUUCUGAAUGAUGGUCACGUACCCACCUCAGAGCGACUGAAGAGCACAGAGAGAACAGCCCAUCCAGCAAUGUUCCCACCCACGUAUUUUCCCUGCUACAGUUACCAUCCUAAAUAACGCUAACCCAUCUCGCUGCUGCCGAUGGAGAGGCUUUACAGUGCUACGGAGAACUAUUUUGAAGCUCAGAAAUGAUGCAGUGAGCCACCACGUUUGGGGUGAGGAGGCCAGCAGACUGCUCCUGCCCCAGCACCUCCCUAACCCUAAAGCUUUGGCGCUGGCAGCCGGAAAAAGGCAGGUGGCAUCCCACACCUCUCACCCUUCUCCCUGUGACACCCGACACAAACAAAACCCACCAAAUUUUGGUGGCCACUGGGGCAGGACGGCCCCACCGGUGCUGGUCCGUGGUCCCUGCUCUCCCCGGUCCCAUCUCUGGCAGGGUCUUGCUAUUAAAAAUGAUCUCUCCAUCCCAGGGUGAGGGAGGUAGGGGGGGGAACUGGGGGGGCAGGGUCUCUUGAAGUGCCUGGACCCCACAAAGUUCAAAGGCACCCUCCCUGCUGCCCUGAGGAGGGAUGAAGAGCCGGCCGGAGGAUGGCUGGAGGCCACACAGACGGGAAGAAAUUUGGUGCAGACGAGACAUAUUUCAAAGGGGCCAGAGAAUGACUUGACUUCUCCGAGGUGAAGGCAGCAAAAGUGGCAACAACCUGGAAAAUAAAUAAAUGAAAUGCAACGUAUGUAGGGGUCACGAUAUAGCAUAAGUAUAUCAACAUGAUGAACAGCUUUGAUGAAAAUGGUGAAAUCCCUCCUAGCAGCUGGCUUAUGAAAUAAUGCGAGGGGAGGCCUUAAUGAGCUGAAAGCACCCUCAGCUGGAGAUAAAUAUAUGCAAAUGAGAUGCACAAACAAAGGAGCCCGGACAGAGAAAUAUCUGCAAUUCCAGCAAAAUGCUGCCUGCAGCUAGAAGAUGAACAGCUUUGAUAAAAUGUUCUGCGGCAGGGGGAGAAGCCAGGAAGGAAAGAAGUCGUUGCACCCAAGGAGCUUUCCCCUUCCCUUCGGCUGCAAAAAAACCUCACCCAGCUCUGUUAAUACAAAACUAAUGGGGAGAGUGUGAUCCGAAGAGCCAGGCUGCUAUCAGCUGAAUUGCGAUGGAAGCUUGCUCAAAAAAUAGGUACAAAGAAAAGAAUUUAGACAAAUUUGCCUCUUAACCUUUAAAGAUUUCCUGCCUAUUCCAGUAUGUCCUUUAUUACAUUAAUUUUUUAUUUAAAUUACACCAUUAACUGGAUAUGAAUUUAUCAAGAAUACAUAUAUUGAUUUAUAAAACAGUAUCAUUAAUUAUUAUAAUAGCUAGAUGUAGCUGAUAUUACAAAGCCAUUUAAAGGUUUUUAAUAUAACUUGGACAUACAUAGAUAGAUAGACAUUAUGGACAAGACUACAAUUUAAACUGGCUACCAGCAGUUAAUGAAAUCCUUGAUUUAUCUUCUCAUUUAGAGAUUGAUUAUAUUGUUGCUUUGUAAAACUAUUUAUUUUAUGCCAUUUUUCAAAGGAUGUCUCAAUAAAAGAAAAAAGAUAAAUAAAAUAUCC